UCUCUGGGGUUCAAAAACAACAACAAAUCAACCAAAUGCUCCCCAAGGUGGAAUCACAUUUUUACAGCAAAGACUGUUCAAAAUAAAUGUAAUCCUGGUAUUGUAGCGGAAUGGAUUACGGUAUGGCUAAUCCCCCGAGUGUUGGCGAAGGGUUGUUGUUCCUGAAGGGCUCCCAGUGAGACUGCUCCCACUGCGUGCUGCCACAGAAGAUAUCUCCCCAACCCAGUUCUGUCAGAUGGAUUGGCCUAGCAUCCACUUAACUUUAGUCAUCCAUCCAUAGUGCAGGAGUCUGUGACCGUGCACUGUGAUGCACGGCCGUGCGUUGACUCUUGUUAUUGGUUAGCGCUCUCUUUUCUGUGUGUGUCUGGAUGUGUAUGAAUGUGUGUCUCUGAGGGGGGCUUGUGUGUGGAUUUGUAUUGCUCCAAAAUAAAAAUCUGUUUCUCAGACUAAUGGAACAACGCUCGUUCUGAGAAGAGGUCCAAUUCCAAACACAGACGGCAGGGAGAGAUACCAGGAGGAGAGAAGGGGAAGAGACUGAUGAUGCAGCCAGAGUCACGUUGUUGUGGUGGAUCACCUUGUGAAUGUGUGAAUGGCUCUAUGGUACUGAAUCCCUUUGGGGUUAAACAUUGCUGCGUUGUGAACUUAUGUAGGAAGACGACUCUGUGACUCAUCUUGAAGAGUAAACCUGUUAAGUCGAUGGUGAUCUGAUGAGAUGAUCAAUCCAGCUCAACACGGUUACUUAGAGGAUACAUUUGUGUACUGGUUACACUUUACAGUAAGCUUACAUCAAUAACCCAUUAAUUACAAUUAGUUAAUGCAGUAUUAAGCAUUAUUUUAUAGUACUAGCAUGGGGUGAAAGUAAAGCCUAACCCGUAGGUUAGGCUUGCCUAAUAGUAAAUAAUAUAGACAUUCAUUUUCACAUUAUACCUUAGUAAACUAUGACCAUUAGUUAAAUAAACAUACGUUAGCUGUUAAUUGCUAGUUAAGUGUUAGCUACUGCUUAUAACUGCAUUUAAUCAUGUUUUUAAAUGGUUUACUAAUGUACCCUUAUGGCAUUGUGUUGCAUCGGUUAAAGUUCAACAAAGCCAAGGUCUUGCUGAGUCUUUGAGCACAGACGGAGUUCACCAUCGCGCUGAAGUUUCAAGUUUAGUGUCAUUGAGUCAGCAAACUCUCGCCGGUCACGGGCCCCGUCACUGGGUCAUCAUCCAUGCCGGGGCACGUACGCACUCAGAAGUGAAAGUCAACGUGGGUGCAGCAGGCGGUGUUCCUGAGAACAACGCUGUCACUUUAAUACAGCGUUGACCUCUGCACAGCAGGGGGGGCCUGGCUCAGCGAGAGGGCAGAAGAAGAACAAUGAGUCGUGCUGCAGGCGAACAUGCGCACACGCUCACUGACACUGCUCACUGACACGGCAGGGGGCACAUGCGCUAGAAACGCAUGUGCAAAGUUGUGUCGCAUUGAACUCUAUAUGAACACAGAAGCACACAUCCGUGUGCAUGGAACGCAAUACCUUGCAUCGCUAUUUUGUUUCGGUAGCUACAACAAAACUGUACCUGCCUACAUCAAUGCAACGCGUUCUGUGACAGCAUGUGCAGCUGCCACGCAUUUAAGAGAAGCAGUCUCAUUCAUUCAGUGGAUCGGGGUCGAGGCGUUCAGGUAGUGGAAUCGGGAUGCUGGUAGGUUUGACAGGAGGGGAAAAAGUGAACUGUACACACACACACACAAACACACACACAGCUUAAACAAGGGACAGCUAGGCACUCAAAGCAUGUGUGUGUGUUUGGUUCUGCAGGAGAGAGAGAGAAACACGAGAGAAAGAGACUAUGGGUGUGUCUGUCUUUGGUGCCUGUUUUAAUUAGCAUGCUCUGCACCAAAUGAGACGGGGACAAUACUAGGGGAAGGAAAUAGUCUCACACACACACACACGCACACGCACACGCACACACAUCGGGAAAUUUCCCCUUGAGGAAAGCAGAUAUAUUUGCCAGGUUGUGGAAAAACAUUCUGCUGUGGUCAUUGUCGGCCACAUAGUAAUGACCACCGCCUGCCAACAAUAUCCCGUGCUCCCUGCCAACCAUUUUAUCUCUGUUUCUAUCUGUUGUACGGCUCUCCAAAUGUAAUGAAGCCACAUAGGAGAAGGGGAGACCGUUGUUGGGCCAGGAGGUCUGGCAGCAGUGAAGUGGGUAUCACAGCGUAUAUGUUCAAAUGACAUACACACAUUUAUGUUUUUUUUCUGCACAUUACUGCUGUUAACGAUUAGCCAAAUGUUGGACAGAAAAAUGGGGCCGGUUGUUAAUAUUUUAUUUAUUUAUUUAUGGAGGAACAGUGACAUUAAUAAAGUGUGCCAUGCCAUACAUCAGCAGCAGUCUCCGCCCAGAAUAUAUAUAGGAUAUGUAAAGCAAGUAAUAAGCAAGGAUACAUAUUGUGUAACCAUGUAGACAAAGACAAGGUCAGCGUUAAUAUGUGGCGGAUCUAAGCGUGGGUUGUGACGCAAGAGGUA